UGCCUGCCCCGCUGUGCCAUGGACUCCAGGCUCCUCCACUGGGCGAUGCUUUGUCUCCUGGGGGCAGGCCUAGCAGAGGCUGGAGUCACCCAAACUCCAAGACACCUGAUCAAAGCAAGAGGACAGCAAGUGACACUGAGGUGUUCCCCUGUCUCUGGGCAUGCCAGUGUGUACUGGUACCAACAGGCCCUGGGUCAGGGCCCCCAGUUCCUCAUUCAGUAUUAUGACGGGGAAGAGGGAGAAAAAGGAAACUUUCCUGCCCGAUUCUCAGGUCACCAGUUCAGUGACUAUCGCUCUGAGCUGAACAUGAGUGCCUUGGAGCUGGGGGACUCGGCCCUGUAUCUCUGUGACAGCAGCUUCCACAGCCCUGCAGAGCCACCAGCGGGCUGGGGAAACAAGGCCAAGAGCAUCUGUUCAGAGGACGUCCCUGAAGGCUACAGUGUCUCUAGAUCAAGUACAAAGAACUUCCCCCUCACGCUGGGGUCUGCUACCCCCUCCCAGACAUCCGUGUACUUCUGUGCCAGCAGCCCUCAACAGUUUAAGAGGACUCAGAAAGCCUUGCUCUUACCACAUGCAAUUUCGUUCCUUCUAACACCCCCAGACCAGUCGGGAAUGACCCUGGAUCUAUUUUUAGCAGAGGUGUCAGAAGGAUCAGAAGCAGCUUAA